rnacentral:rRNA from 1 species
GAUGAACGCUAGCGGAAGGCUUAAUACAUGCAAGUCGAGCGGUAGAUGGCUUCGGCCAUUGAGAGCGGCGCACGGGUGAGUAACGCGUACAUGACCUGCCUGUCAGAAGGGAAUAGCCCUGGGAAACUGGGAUUAAUACCCUAUGGUAUUGAUAUUAUGAAUGAUAUCAAUUAAAGUUGAGGCGCUGACAGAUGGAUGUGCGUCUGAUUAGCUAGUUGGUAGGGUAACGGCCUACCAAGGCGACGAUCAGUAGGGGGCGUGAGAGCGUGGUCCCCCACACGGGUACUGAGACACGGACCCGACUCCUACGGGAGGCAGCAGUAAGGAAUAUUGGUCAAUGGGCGCAAGCCUGAACCAGCCAUGCCGCGUGCAGGAAGACGGCCUUAUGGGUUGUAAACUGCUUUUAAUCAGGAAUAAACCCCGGUUCGUGAGCCGGGUUGAAGGUACUGGUUGAAUAAGCACCGGCUAACUCCGUGCCAGCAGCCGCGGUAAU